rnacentral:misc_RNA from 1 species
UUUCCGUAGGUGAACCUGCGGAAGGAUCAUUAAUGGGAAAUCAAAUCAAAACAAAUGUUCUGUUGCACUGGGUGUGCUGUGUGGUGGUGGUGUGAGACAUGGAGAUUCAAUCAUUGGAGAUUCAAUCAUUGGAGAUUCAAUCAUUGGAGAUUCAAUCAUUGGAGAUUCAAUCAUUCAAUCUCAAUCAUCGCCACACAACACAACUAUCUAUCACACUCGAUCAACAACAACACACUCACACAAACAGCAAACAACUUUUAACAAUGGAUCUCUUGGCUCUU